CAUGUUCUCAAUCAUCACCAACAUCGGCGACCAAUACUCAAUUUUCUACCUCUCGACCCUUAAUAGGCCACACACACACACAGAUACCAUUCUCUCACGUCACCAACAUCGGUGACCCAACCCCUUGCCCGUCGGAGUCUCCCAACCAUCACCACUAUAGGCAAUCAACCUACUCUUUCUAGAUAGUGACACCAAUAUCGAUGUCCCCCCCAAAGCUACCACUCAAGGACCACACCAUCCCGUACUUGCUUCACCAUGUUAUCUUGAGACUCCCCUAUUCCUUU
rnacentral:lncRNA from 1 species